CCCACCCCCUCAAAUCUGACUGAUUGGAAGCAGCGGGAGGAGGAGGACUGAUCAUUAUCCAAUGAGGCACGUGGGGUGACUACCCAGCCCCGUUGUGCCAAACUUGACUUGAUCGCAGCAUUUGGAACCAACCGUAGUAUCUAGUAUAGAACGCCAAGUGUCAGGCGCAUCAAUCACCGUGACCAGAGAGUCGGUUCUAUCCGUUCAGUAGAUUGGGACCAUCAGGUUGGAAGGGGAAUUUUGUAGUAGUCAUGUAACCUUGCGAGCACAUGCCGCGAUUGAGGAGGGAUGCGCUUUAAGGCCUCGAACCUCGACGCGUGGGAUCGUAAUAUGAUCUGAGUCGUACAGGUCACCUCGGUGGAUCGGAAUUUGUGGAUGGCGCGGGAUCAGAUGCCGGCUGUGGUGUCAGUCACACAUUGGCAGGGAAGCAACAGGAGGCGAGUGCAUGUAGGGACCGUGUUGUAGGGCCAUCCUCCGUCGGGUCCCACCUUUCUGUCACGUGUGGGACUGCUCAGGAUGAGAUUUGCGCGAGUGCUUCGGCCGUACUGUGAGUGCGCAAUUGUGCUCUUGUCUCCAGCGUUUUGUUCUGAUUUCUUUUCUUUUAUUCGUACACUACAUUCUAAUCGGUCUCUUCCAAGCUUGGAAAGUCUUGGUUUCUGGGAAAUGAGCUGGGAGGGGCUGCCAGUGGGAUUGGAGGAGAAAGGUAGGCAUGGGUUGUGUGUGUGGGUAUGUUGCUGGGGACCAGGGCAGCAACAUUAUAUGCCUUCAAGAGGAGAUGACCACCUGACGUGUUGUCCAUCGUGAACGUCUCUGGGUAUGUCCACCGUGACAUAUUUGCCUCCGAAUAAUAAUAGAUGGCUAUGGCUCGAAAUGGGUUCACUCAAUUGCAUGUUCUUUCUUUCUUUCUUUCUUCAACUUUCGGAACUAAUUUUGGACUCUCCCUCGCGAACAAAACUCGCCUCUUUUGUGGGUAUGGAACUGCUAUUGACGAAUCUUUAUACGCUGUGGUGUCACCGCCUCGGUUAGUAGGCAGGGCUAGAAUUUCUGGCGACCUUUUAAGCAGGAAUUGGCGAGAUACUCUAGUUCAGUCCAAUUUGAACUCGAGUUGAUCACGAGGCACUUCUUUUCUGGAGGAGCAGAGGCUCAGCGAGAUUCAAAUAUGGAAUCAAGAUCCCGCUCUGCUGUUCACCAAUUGGGGACCAAAGGAGCUGAUGAACCCCGGUUGUCAUGAACUUAGUCUUCAAAGAUCAGUAUAAAUUAAUGAAAGCAUGACAUCAUUCAUUCAUAUGUUAUUAUUAUUCCUAAAUUUAUUUGCUCUUUCAAGUCAUCUUGCAGAGAAAAUCUCUCACCAAGUUGGGCUUGUCAGCAAGCCAUUAACCUCGCUGCACAAUAAAGAGAUUAAGCAAGCUCAAGGCAAAGAAAACCCGAUUACUAAGCCUUGAAAAACGAGGGUUUUCUUCAGAAGAGCUCAUGAUUCAUUUCUUCUUAACCUUUGUGUUGUAUUGGAGCUCAUACUUCGUGGAUGUAAAAUUUGUAGAUCGUGCAUAGAAGAAUGAUUUUUUUCAGAAUUUUGUUUGACCUCUCAAUCUUAAAGAGCAUUGAGCGUGAUCCCAACUUCUUCACAAAUGAACACAAUUCAUCAUCAAUGUAGAAUUGACAUCAGCUCUUAGCAUAAAGUGGCCCGGUUUCUUUAUAGCUGUUCUGCCUAAUUGGGGUCUGAUUCUAUCCUACCAAAACCUAGAAUUUUUUUUCAUCGUAAAAUGUCAAGUAGAAGGAAGGUAAAUGAUUUUCCAUUUAAUGAAUUUCAUUUGCACCAUAAUCAUAACUCCAUAGCAAAUCCCUUCUAAAUAUUCUACAAAUUGGAAUGUUAUGACAAAGCCAUAAUAAAAAGUGACACAGAAAAACACCACGACAUAUUGCCCAGCAACCAUAUUUCACAGCUGAAAAGUGGAGGGUGGAUUCUUUGCUGUGAUGGAGUUUUUUCAACAAACACCAGAAGCACCGAUGAUCCGUAAUGCUAGGCAUGGAUUUAUUCUGUUUCGGUUUGUUUUUUUGUUUUUGUGAUGGGAUGCGGUGGGUCAAGAUAAGCGAUGAGUCACGGGCGUGUAGCGAUGGAGCCCAUCAGUGCUGUGUGCUGCUUUAAAGGGUCUGCAAGGGAGGAAAUUGGGCAGGCAGGCGGGUGGGGUAGGAGAGACGAAUUUCCUCGAACGAAGGACAUACGCCUGGGAGGGAGCCGCACGAUUCAUGGACAUUGCACGUGAUAUGGCACACCUGCUCCGCUUUAUAAAGCCAACUAGCUCACACUUGACCCUCUAUCUUGGGCCACAUGUUCCCUCAACCUGCCGCAUCUGACCGCAUUUGGUGCACUAGUUGUGGGCGCUAUGACUAGACCACACCCACCUUCACUGUCCUGUUUUUGUGCUUUCUUUUUGAACUGCGAAUGCAGUCUCAAGGCACCUUUUUCCAGUGUUGGAGUUACAAUUCCAAUUUGUGUGUGAAGUGUUAACGUAAGAUUUUGAAGCAGGACUUGUGCUUACCUCCAGAACUUAAUUCUUUUACUAUUUUAUGAACUCUCCUCUGCCUUCAAGUUAGCCGAGUCCACCUUCACGACGUUGUUCAUGUGACUCCAAUUCAUCGUGUGCGUUCAGCAUGCAUGCAAUGGUUGUUUAUUAGACUUUCUGCGACAAAUUUCCCACUUCCUUGAGAACGGUCUUCGAACACUGCAAACUGUGCCCAAUGUGACAACUACACGACAUGACUCUGGAUGACUCCCACGAGAAGCACUUACUGAGUCGUCACGCGCAAGAGAAGUGGAACAGAAUCUGCUCAGAAUGUAGAAGGAGAUCAAUUGCAGUCUCCAUGUGCACACCAUUCACUGCUGACGACCAUCUUCAAGGAAUAAUGCUGCAAGAGAAUGCAUAUAAUACAUCCGAAGUCGUCAGUGGAGAUGCGAGAACGAUGUGGAGAUGUUCGGAUCUUACCCCGUUGGCCCACCCACGUGCUGCAGGAGAACUGCCACGAGCACGGAGACCUGCACAAUUGUCGCGAUUGACCUUACAGAAUCACGACGCCUCUAACUGAAAUUUCUUUCUUGGCCCAUCGAUCAUAAAACCAGCAAGGGGUGCAAGCUUUCUUUGUCAUCGGAGCUCCAGCUCAUUAGAUAAGGCCUAGUCUCUACAGUGCUGACACCUGAUGUGUGUGCGAGCGCAGACAUGGGCGGAUAUAUGUAUUUAUAUAUAUAUUUAUAAAUAUAUACACAUAUAUAUAAAUACAUAUAUUGCUUUCCUGACUGUACUGAUUGCUUCUGCAAAACAAGGCAUUAACACUUGUUGCGACAGGAGUCAAACUUAAAUCUGGACUGUGCGUGGGGUCAGUCAUCCCGAAGCAAUCACUCACCCACGUCAUUAACCGCGUGAUGCAGAACAUAUGGCAACGUUGUAAUUGACGAGGGAAGAUUGUACAGGACAACCUCCCCCAUACACAUAGAUAAUUAUUUUCGAGGGUCACCAUCUCAAUAGAUUGAGGUCGUUUACCGGUGCACAUGUGACAAGACCUUUCGUUCGAUUGGCCAAUAUCCGUUACCAGCAGUUGUGCAUGCUCUUUUCUGAAGCUAUCAUCUAUAGUCAAGUUUUAGAAUGGGCUAAAUUAGGAUUAGGAUUCGCAGCGGAGAAAGCCUCUGCUUUCUUUCCAGCCAUAGAAGUGAGGUAGAUUGUCCAGACGAAGGAGCAGCAGUUGUUGAAUAACACCUGCGCCAGUCAGCAGCAAGUGUCGGCAAAGAUGCUGAAUAGUUUAUUUCUUAUAUUGCAAAGCUCUGCUUGAAUCAUGUGAUUCACUUUAUUUUUUUUCACAGAAAAUGCUGAUACUUUUGCAGACACUCUAGGGGUGGUAAAAUUUCUUCAGUUUCAGUUCCAAAGA